rnacentral:rRNA from 1 species
GACGAACGCUGGCGGCGUGCUUAACACAUGCAAGUCGAACGGGAUUUAGUAGACAGAAACCCGGUGGAAGAUUACUAAUGAGAGUGGCGAACGGGUGAGUAACGCGUGAGCAACCUGCCUAUGACAGUGGGAUAGCCUCGGGAAACCGGGAUUAAUACCGCAUAAAAUCGUAGAAACACAUGUUUCAACGGUCAAAGAUUUAUCGGUCAUAGAUGGGCUCGCGUCUGAUUAGCUAGUUGGUGAGAUAACAGCCCACCAAGGCGACGAUCAGUAGCCGGUCUGAGAGGAUGAACGGCCACAUUGGAACUGAGACACGGUCCAAACUCCUACGGGAGGCAGCAGUGGGGAAUAUUGCACAAUGGGGGAAACCCUGAUGCAGCGACGCCGCGUGAACGAAGAAGGUAUUCGUAUCGUAAAGUUCUGUCCUAUGGGAAGAUAAUGACAGUACCAUAGAAGAAAGCUCCGGCUAAAUACGUGCCAGCAGCCGCGGUAAUACGUAUGGAGCGAGCGUUGUCCGGAAUUAUUGGGCGUAAAGGGUACGCAGGCGGUUUAAUAAGUCGAAUGUUAAAGAUCGGGGCUCAACCCCGUAAAGCAUUGGAAACUGAUAAACUUGAGUAGUGGAGAGGAAAGUGGAAUUCCUAGUGUAGUGGUGAAAUAUGUAGAUAUUAGGAGGAAUACCAGUAGCGAAGGCGACUUUCUGGACACAAACUGACGCUGAGGUACGAAAGCGUGGGGAGCAAACAGG